GGACUUCCCUCUGUGGACAUAAGAGGCCCUCUGUGACACGCGGUCAUUGCUCCAGACGUGUGAUGGCUCAUUAUGGGGUCAGGAUUGUAAAAAGAGGCAAUGCAGUGUUUGUCGCAGGCUCAAACGAGGGGUACCAGCAGGGAGAAGUCUGAGGAGACGCUCAGAGCGGUAAAAGCCUCAAGGCCCCGUGACGAAGAACUUCUGAAGGGUGACAUGCUCAGUGUGGAGGAGACACGGUUCAGAGGACAAUAAAGCUGCCUUUACUUCAGAAGAGCUGUCACAUGGGAACCAGCACAGGCCUCUUCUGGGCGGCCCCGCAGCCUAGAACCACAGCUGGUAUGAGAAAUCAUAGGGAGAGAUUUCUGCUCAGAGGAAGAAGUCUCUGGCAGCCAGCAUCUUCCAAAGGUGGGAGAGGCUUGCUUGACUGGAGCGCGCUGCCCCCGGUGUGCUUAUGUCCACUGGUCAGGGGAGCCCAUAGUGAGUGGCCCUAGCAUCAGAUCAAAGACUGCUCUAGGUGGUCUCCAGGUGUUUCCUGGCCCUGCCUUUACAACUCUAAAAAGCCACGCAGCAACUCUCUCACAGUGGGAGAGCCUCCGCAGCCUCUGGGAGCUUGAGCGCAGAAGGCAGGACAGCUGGGAAGACGUCAAUCAAUCAAUCAGAACUACCAAAAACAGCAAUGCGUGCUGAAAAGUGGUCCUAAAAUCCCUUUAAUUUGUCCAGCCCUGUACAGCCUAUGAAACAUUUUCACACAGUGCCUCACCCACAACUCUGGGAGUGUUUACUGAACAGAUUCAAUGCUCCAGUCACUGUGACAAUCAGCUGGGAUGCCAAGAUGCAUAAUACACAGUCUUGCCUUCAAGGAGUUGCCGGUCAGGCUGGGAAAUACAGAAAUGUUCAAGAACAAAUCACAAAGUGUAUCAAUAGUGCAAAAAUAAAAAGGUAUAUAAUGGAGAUUGCUCAGAGAUCCGGGGUGAUUAAUUCAGGCAGAGGAGUGGGA
rnacentral:lncRNA from 1 species